rnacentral:rRNA from 1 species
CCUACGGGAGGCAGCAGUCGAGAAUUUUUCUCAAUGGGCGAAAGCCUGAAGGAGCGACGCCGCGUGUGGGAUGAAGGGUUUCGAUCCGUAAACCACUGUCAUUUGUGAACAAUGGUUAUCCGUGAAUAACGGAUGACUUGAUAGUAAUGAAAGAGGAAGGGACGGCUAACUCUGUGCCAGCAGCCGCGGUAAUACAGAGGUCCCGAGCGUUGUUCGGAUUCACUGGGCGUAAAGGGUGCGUAGGUGGCAUGGUAAGUUUGAUGUGAAAGCUCAGGGCUCAACCCUGAAAUGGCAUUGAAUACUACUGUGCUGGAGGUUUGGAGGGGGGACUGGAAUUCUUGGUGUAGCAGUGAAAUGCGUAGAUAUCAAGAGGAACACCAGUGGCGAAGGCGAGUCCCUGGACAACACCUGACACUGAGGCACGAAAGCCGGGGGAGCAA